GAUGAACGCUGGCGGCGUGCUUAACACAUGCAAGUCGAACGAAGCACUUUAUUUGAUUUCCUUCGGGACUGAUUAUUUUGUGACUGAGUGGCGGACGGGUGAGUAACGCGUGGGUAACCUGCCUUGUACAGGGGGAUAACAGUUGGAAACGGCUGCUAAUACCGCAUAAGCGCACAGCAUCGCAUGAUGCAGUGUGAAAAACUCCGGUGGUAUAAGAUGGACCCGCGUUGGAUUAGCUAGUUGGUGAGGUAACGGCCCACCAAGGCGACGAUCCAUAGCCGACCUGAGAGGGUGACCGGCCACGUUGGGACUGAGACACGGCCCAAACUCCUACGGGAGGCAGCAGUGGGGAAUAUUGCACAAUGGGCGAAAGCCUGAUGCAGCGACGCCGCGUGAGCGAAGAAGUAUUUCGGUAUGUAAAGCUCUAUCAGCAGGGAAGAUAAUGACGGUACCUGACUAAGAAGCACCGGCUAAAUACGUG
rnacentral:rRNA from 1 species